rnacentral:lncRNA from 1 species
GCUACGUGCCCAGCGCUCGCGUCUGCUCCAGUCGCUCUGGCGGUGCGGGGCGCUGGCGACGGGACAGGGUUUUUGCUGCCCGGGGCCUAGUCUACCUCGGCACGCUUUUCUCUGAAGGAGACACGCACUUGCACGACGUGGGCCUCUGUGCAGCUCUACUUUGUCCUUAACUCCUCUGACUCAACGUUAUCGCAGUUUGACUCUGGAGCCACUCAGGUUUUUCCUAAGCUCAACUCUAGCCAGCUAGGUUCCUGGUGCUUUGGGGCAAAACAGUUAUCAACUUAUUAACACAGAAGACUUC